AGAGUGGGCCUUCAGAGGGCCCUGGACCCUCAUCCUCAGGGCAACAUGGCUGCCACCCAGGCAGAUGUCCCCGGAGGCUGGAUUUACGAUGGCGGUCCCCUCAGAGCAGGGGCAGGGGAGAAGUGGCCCUGUCAAGGCCAGGGAAAGGCAAAAGAAUUUCCCAACAGGCAGUGCUGGCCGAAGAGAGAGUGAGCGGCUGCCUCGGAAGGCAGGUGCCCAGCCUGGCCCCGGAAGGACACAAGCACAGGCUGACCCCAGCAGUCACUGGGGAGGAGGAGGAGGGUUCCCAAGCUGGGAUUCAGUAACCUUCACUUAUUGGUACUUUCCACAAUGUUUAAGUAGCUACAGUGGUCCAGGCACUGGGGGGACAAGCCCACAUGGGGCUUACAAUCUGGCAAGCCUGCAUUCCAGGGUUCUAGGCAGCACCCUCUGGAUGUAGGGCGAUGAAGUGGCCUCCACACCCUCCCCCGGGCCCCUGCCUGAGAUUCCACCAUUGAGCUGCUCCUUGAGGACUGAAGGUGCCAAACCGAUCGAUCAGUCUCUCCAUACGUUCUUUGCUCCGGCCCUAGCGCCUACAGCGUACCAGGCUCCAUGCACGGAACCAGGCAUCCAAAGAUGAUGGAGAUCAAGCCGUGGCCCUCAAAGGGAGCUGGGGGCUGCUGGGGAAAACAGGUGCCUGGGGCUGCCCACACCAUCCUUCCAAGACCAGCUGAAGCCCUCCUCCUACAGGAAGUCCUACCUAACCACCCCAGCCCCUUCAAGACUCCAGAGAUGUCAGAAAACAGGUGUGCUAGCCCCAAACCUCCAAAGGAGACCCAGCACCUGCUUUUGUCCUGAUCUUAAGUGCUCACAGUUGUGGCUUUUGGUGUACAGGUCUUGUGGUUGGCGGCUGGAAGUCUCAAGGGAGGGUAUAAGCUUUAGCUCUGCCGCUGGACUCCAAACUCCCCAAGCCCCCUCCCCCCCCCCCCCCCCCCCCGUCUCUCAGCUUCUGCCCAGGGACUUCCAGCCUCAUCCAGGGAUGCCAGGGAGGCCUGUAACAUCAUCCUUCUCCUUUCUCAUGAGGGAACUGAGGCUCACAGAGCUUAAGGGACAUGUCCAAGGGGCGCCCCACCACGGAAGCUCCACGAGGAAGACAGAGGCAGGCAGAAGGCUGUCAGGAGCAUUGUCUGGAUAUGACACAUCACUUUGGCUCACAUUUCA